rnacentral:rRNA from 1 species
UACAGAGGGUGCAAGCGUUAUUCGGAAUUAUUGGGCGUAAAGAGCGCGUAGGCGGUCUGAUAAGUCUGGUGUGAAAUCCCUGGACUCAAUUCAGGAAGCGCAUUGGAUACUGUCAGACUCGAGUACAGGAGAGGUGAGCGGAAUUCCCGGUGUAGAGGUGAAAUUCGUAGAUAUCGGGAGGAACAACAGUGGCGAAGGCGGCUCACUGGACUGUAACUGACGCUGAGGCGCGAAAGCGUGGGGAGCAAACAGG